AUUAGGGAGAGGCAGAGGGGAGCAGCCAGCAGUCUUAUGCUACCACUGUGGCUCAUCCUGGGGACUGAGAGAAACCUGGGCAACUGUGAGCACCAGAGGCCAAGUCCUGGACAGUCUUUAGGCCAUGUUGGAACUACAUUUGGAAAGGUGGUUGUUAAACAUUUCCCAGCACACACCUGGAUCUGCAUCUGCUGUGUCAAUUGAACCACUCACUGGUUCUGUGACCUCAGUUCUUCGUAGACUCUGGAAUGGAGCUGGAAGCUGUCAUCCUCAGCACACUAACGCAGGAACAGAAAACCAAGCACUGCAUGUUCCCACUUAUAAGUGAGAGCUGAACGAGCAGAACACAUGGACAUAUGAAGGGGAACAACACACUCUGGGGCCUGUGAGGUGCGGGGAGAGCAUCAAGAAGAACAGCUAAUGGGUGCUGGGCUUAAUACCUGGGUGAUGGGUUGAUCUGUGCGGCAAACCACCAUGGCACACAUUUACCUAUGUAACAAACCUGGACAUCCUGCACAUGUACCCCGGAACUUAAAAAUAAAAGUUGACAAAAAGAAAACAUAACUUACUUUUAA